rnacentral:rRNA from 1 species
AUGAACGCUGGCGGCAUGGAUUAGGCAUGCAAGUCGAACGCGUCGGGGGCAACUCCGACGAGUGGCGUAAGGGUGAGCAAUACGUGAGGAACCUGCCUUCGGAUUCGGGACAGCCCCGGGAAACUGGGAUUAAUACCGGAUGCGGUUGCUGCGCACAUGCGCAGCGGACCAAAGGCGCAAGCCGUCCGUAGAGGGCCUCGCGUCCUAUCAGCUUGUUGGCGGGGUGACGGCCCACCAAGGCUAAGACCGGUAGCUGGUCUGAGAGGAUGGUCAGCCACACUGGGACUGAGAACUGCCCAGACUCCUACGGGAGGCUGCAGUCGAGAAUCUUCUGCAAUGGGCGAAAGCCUGACAGAGCAAUGCCGCGUGAGGGAUGAAGGCCUUCGGGUCGUAAACUGCUGUCACCGGGGAUGAAUAAUGACAGUACCCGUGGAGGAAGUCACGGCUAACUACGU